GUUUCCACUUCUCUUCCUCUCUCAGCAUCUGUUCUUCUCUUCUUUAUUUCUGAUCUACUUUUCCUAGUCCCUACUUUGUCUUAUGUUUUAAAGAAAACUUGAUCAGAAAUAAAGAAAAGAAGAACAGAUUCUGAGAUAGGAAGAGAAGUGGAAAC